UUAAUUGAAACCAAAAAGAGGUAAAUCACUGUUAAUGAUAGAACUGAAUACUAUUCCAAUUAAA
rnacentral:tRNA from 1 species